rnacentral:misc_RNA from 1 species
GUAAAAUGCAAUAAUUUUCUGUUCUCAAUUUUCUUUUUAUACAAACAUGGAAAAUAAAUGAAUAAAUAAAUUACUUCCUUUCCUUCUUUUCUCUAUGAAAAAAAAUAAUUUUCAUUUCCAUAGAGAUUUUAUUUUCCUUAUAAUUUCAGUCACUUUUACUUUCCCAGCUUUUAUUUCUAUGUAAAUAGAAAACUUAUGGAAGAAAAAGCGAGUGGGAUUUUAUGGAAAGUAAAAUCCAUAUAGAAAGUAAAGAAAAUAAAAGGAAAGGAAGUGAUUUUCAUGUUUUGAUGAAAGGAAAAUUGAGGAAAGAAAAUUAUUACAUUUUUAUAAUUAUUCCAAUAUUGAAUAAAUAAAGAAUAAUUAUUUGAGGAAUAAAGGAUAUAGAGGGAAAAUGGGAAAAAUUAAUACUAUUUUCUAUUAUUUUUCGCUCAAUUUGAGUGGAAAAUGAAAUGGCUUUCUAUACAAAUCCAAAUAUUUUUUUUUUCUUUUCAUAUUUUUCUUUCUUACAAAACAGAGCCGAAUGCACUUUU